rnacentral:rRNA from 1 species
AAUUUUGGACAAUGGGGGAAACCCUGAUCCAGCCAGCCCGCGUGUAUUAUGAAGGCCUUCGGGUUGUAAAGUACUUUUGGCAGAGAAGAAAAUGUAGCGCCUAAUACGAGAUACUGAUGACGGUAUCUGCAGAAUAAGCACCGGCGAACUAAGUGCCAGCAGCCGCGGUAAUGCGUAGGGUGCAAGCGUUAAUGGGAUUUACUGGGCGUAAAGCGUGUGUAGGCGGUUCGGAAAGAAAGAUGUGAAAUCCCAGGGCUCAACCUUGGAACUGCAUUUUUAACUGCCGAGCUAGAGUAUGUCAGAGGGGGGUAGAAUUCCACGUGUAGCAGUGACAUGCGUAGAUAUGUGGAGGAAUACCGAUGGCGAAGGCAGCCCCCUGGGAAUACUGACGCUCAGACACGAAAGCGUGGGGAGCAA